AUUUAUAUUUUCAAACAGGAUUGGUAUCGGCCAUGAUAAUAGUUUUUGCACGUAUGGAGGAGAUCGCUUUCUGAAUCACGAGUUUGGUGUACAUGAAAAUAUGAAAUUAGCCCCCCCUUGUGAAGGUGAAACUACUCUCCUGGAUUUUUCCCUACAAGACCACAUCUUUGGCACAUUAUCAUGGGACAAUAAUUGGGUGCAACAAACUAAUAAUGAGGAGGAGCUUCACCUCGUCGGAAAUUCAAGAAAGCGUUCGUUCGAGACAACCGAUCGAAAUUCUUCUAGUGCUUCUGUAUCUAAAAAAAAGCCAAUGCUCUUUCAAGAACACUUGCCAAAUAUACAAACACAAAAGGCAUAUAUACAUACAACAUAGUUAAUGCA